ACUCUUCAACUCCCCAAUUUCUUGUAGAUUGUGUGGAUGUUUGGAUUCUGAAUGUUGCUGGCUUCCUCGGAAGCGAAGCUCGUUCGUAAUAUAUUAGCAUUUCUAAUUCGAAUUCGGAUUGACUCAGUGUAAUAGACUAUUCGCUGAGGACACCAAGCAAUUGGUGGCCGUAUUCAAUACAAGAGAAGCUUCUAAUCCCUCUAGUCAUUUUUGA
rnacentral:misc_RNA from 1 species